rnacentral:rRNA from 1 species
CUUGUUACCUAUAAGAGGUCCAGCCUGCCCAGUGAGAUAUUCAACGGCCGCGGUAUCCUAACCGUGCGAAGGUAGCGUAAUCACUUGUUCUCUAAAUCAGGACUAGUAUGAACGGCACCACGAGGGUUUUACUGUCUCCUUUUUCCAAUUAGUGAACUUAAUCUUCCCGUGAAGAAGCUGGGAUGAACCUAUAAGACGAGAAGACCCUUUGGAGCUUUAAACAAUUUAGCACCUGCACCACUGCCUUCAUAUUUCUGAAUUUAUAUUUCCCGCAGGCUGACUAAAAGUUUUAGGUUGGGGUGACCGCGGAGUAAAAUUCAUCCUCCACACUGUAAGAAUCUACUGAAUCUUAACCAAGAGGCACACCUCUAAGUAUCAACAUACUGACAUCCAUUGACCCAAUAUAUUUGAUCAACGAAC